rnacentral:rRNA from 1 species
UACGGAGGAUCCGAGCGUUAUCCGGAUUUAUUGGGUUUAAAGGGAGCGUAGGCGGGAAGUCAAGUCAGCUGUGAAAUGUAGGCGCUCAACGCCUGCACUGCAGUUGAAACUGGUUUUCUUGAGUGCGUAAGAGGCAGGCGGAAUUCGUCGUGUAGCGGUGAAAUGCUUAGAUAUGACGAAGAACUCCGAUUGCGAAGGCAGCUUGCUGGUCCGCCACUGACGCUGAAGCUCGAAGGUGCGGGUAUCGAAC